rnacentral:pre_miRNA from 1 species
AGUAGGAUAACUAGGUCAAAUGGUGGUUCUAUUCCAGGUUUUCUGAGGAAUCUCCAUAGUGUUUUCCAGAGUGGUUUCACCAAUUUGCCAUCCCACCAGCAAU